rnacentral:rRNA from 1 species
GACGAACGCUGGCGGCGUGCUUAACACAUGCAAGUCGAACGGAAAGGCCCUGCUUUUGUGGGGUGCUCGAGUGGCGAACGGGUGAGUAACACGUGAGUAACCUGCCCUUGACUUUGGGAUAACUUCAGGAAACUGGGGCUAAUACCGGAUAGGAGCUCCUGCUGCAUGGUGGGGGUUGGAAAGUUUCGGCGGUUGGGGAUGGACUCGCGGCUUAUCAGCUUGUUGGUGGGGUAGUGGCUUACCAAGGCUUUGACGGGUAGCCGGCCUGAGAGGGUGACCGGCCACAUUGGGGCUGAGAUACGGCCCAGUCUCCUACGGGAGGCAGCAGUGGGGAAUAUUGCACAAUGGGCGGAAGCCUGAUGCAGCAACGCCGCGUGCGGGAUGACGGCCUUCGGGUUGUAAACCGCUUUCGCCUGUGACGAAGCGUGAGUGACGGUAAUGGGUAAAGAAGCACCGGCUAACUACGUG